CAUGUCCCUGUACAGAGUCCUUUGAGC
rnacentral:piRNA from 1 species